UUCCAGACUCCUACGGGAGGCAGCAGUGGGGAAUAUUGCACAAUGGGGGAAACCCUGAUGCAGCGACGCCGCGUGAGUGAAGAAGUAUUUCGGUAUGUAAAGCUCUAUCAGCAGGGAAGAAAUAGCGACCUUUGGGUCGCCAGACGGUACCUGAUUAAGAAGCCUCGGCUAACUACGUGCCAGCAGCCGCGGUAAUACGUAGGGGGCAAGCGUUAUCCGGAUUUACUGGGUGUAAAGGGAGCGUAGACGGCAUAGCAAGUCUGAAGUGAAAGCCCAAGGCUCAACCACGGGACUGCUUUGGAAACUGUUAAGCUAGAGUGCUGGAGAGGUAGGCGGAAUUCCUAGUGUAGCGGUGAAAUGCGUAGAUAUUAGGAAGAACACCAGUGGCGAAGGCGGCUUACUGGACAGUAACUGACGUUGAGGCUCGAAAGCGUGGGGAGCAAACAGGAUUAGAUACCCCUGUAACA
rnacentral:rRNA from 1 species